GGGCGGAGGCCUGAAUCCGAGCCAGGGGUCGGGGCGAGGCUUCGGCCUCCUUCCCUCCCUCCCGCCUUCCUUCCUUCCCACACAAACAAGUCGGGCGCGCACUGACUCUGCCCUUCCCUUCCCUCAGGAAGGAAGGAAGGAGGGAGGGAGGGAGGCUGGGAGUGGCGGCGGCUCCCCUCACGCUCCUAAUUACCCCCAGCGCCUCAGGAGGAGGAGGAGUUUUCCCCGCCGACGAACUCGCCCUUCCAGCUGCCUCAGCCUCCCUCCUCCUCUUGUCAGGGAAAGAGGUGUGAGCGCCUUGCUUGGAGUCAGAGUCAGAGACAUACAUACACACACGCCCUCUCGCCUUCUCCCUCCCUGCCUGGAGGCGAACCUGAAGCGGUGAAAAACAACCGCAGUCACGCCCUUCCCGCCCUUUUCUCCCCAAAGAGGCUCUAACUGAGGUAACAGAAGGGGCCGCUUCAUUGGGACACCUCCCCGACGAGGAGGCCUCGGUUGUCUGUCUCUGAAGUGACCCAGCCAAGGAGGGUGCAUGGAUAUUUAUUUAGGAGUCUCUUUUCAAAACUUAUGUACAUGGGACUGGUUAUUCCGGUUACUUCGAAAGAAGCACAAAUAAUGGAUAAUCUGAUGUAAAACCUUUGUUCAGGGUAACCUCCCACUUAUUGUGCUGAUAGUUAACCAGUGAAACUGGAGACAGGAUUAUCAGGUCAUGCAAAAUUACCAAAAAAAUGUAUUAGAUGCUCAUGUUGAAGUUUUUCCUUACAAAAACAACUGAAAACUUUUAUUUGGUAUAACCUUUUCUGGAAUUUAUUCCAUUUCAACAAAUGUAAGUGCAACACUUAUAUUGACAGCUCUUAAUGUUACACAUUUCUAUUAAUGCGAAUGAUAUUGAAGUGUUGCCCCUUGUGUAAUAUUUUUGCCUAUGGUGAACUCCAGGUCUGUUGCAGUAUAGUAGUACAAACACUGAUGUUUAGACAGUCGCGCCCAGCACUCUCAGUAUGCUAAAACAAAUGGUGACAAAAUUCUACACAUGCCACCAGCAUUUCUAUGAUCUGUCCUCUUGCGUGACAUUGAUGUCUUGGCUUACAUUUAGUAUUCCAAGAAGCUAGGUCCUGAGGAUCAACCUAGUUUGGUUCUAAUUGUCUAGAAUAUUUUCCUGAUUUUUAAAUGCCCCUAUUUCUUGUGGUUCCCAAGAAAUAGUCUAUUUAAAAGAAAUGUAAUGGCUGCUAAAGGUUUGCACCAUAGUGAUAAGAGGUGGUGCAUUUUAAUUUAUUUUGCUUCUGUUCAUUUUUAUUCUGUAAUCCCAAGCAAAUAAUAAUCACUCCACUGUCAAUAUUAGAGUAACAAAAAAGUCCUUGCCUUUGAACCAGCAAAGCUGGGCUAUGUCAAUUGAAACAACUUGUUUUUAUCCGCAGCUAUGACUGCAUUUUAUGAAUUUUAAUGUUUUACAUUGUAAUUAUGUAUGUGCAUGGUUGUAACUCUGUGUUUUUAAUUGUUUCAGAUUCAUGUAUUAUCUAUAUGCGGCACUUCAUUGUAUUUUGUUGGCUGCCCUGAGUCCUUUCAGGGAGAUGGUGGCGUGGUAGAAAUAAAAUUUAUUAUUAUUAUUA